GUGGGGAAUAUUGGACAAUGGGCGCAAGCCUGAUCCAGCAAUGCCGCGUGAGUGAUGAAGGCCUUAGGGUUGUAAAGCUCUUUCACCGGGGAAGAUAAUGACGGUACCCGGAGAAGAAGCCCCGGCUAACUCCGUGCCAGCAGCCGCGGUAAUACGGAGGGGGCUAGCGUUGUUCGGAAUUACUGGGCGUAAAGCGCGCGUAGGCGGCUUGACCAGUUGGAGGUGAAAGCCCGGAGCUCAACUUCGGAAUUGCCUUCAAGACUGUCUCGCUCGAGGCAGGGAGAGGAGAGCGGAAUACCCAGUGUAGAGGUGAAAUUCGUAGAUAUUGGGUGGAACACCGGUGGCGAAGGCGGCUCUCUGGCCCUGAUCUGACGCUAAGGCGCGAAAGCGUGGGGAGCAAACAGGAUUAGAUACCCCAGUAGUCC
rnacentral:rRNA from 1 species